GAUGAAGAACGCAGCGAAAUGCGAUAAGUAAUGUGAAUUGCAGAAUUCAGUGAAUCAUCGAAUCUUUGAACGCACAUUGCGCCCGCCAGUAUUCUGGCGGGCAUGCCUGUUCGAGCGUCAUUUCAACCCUCAGGCCACCAGUGCCUGGUGUUGGGGAUCGGCCCAGCCUUCCUGUAAGGCCGCCGGCCCCGAAAUCUAGUGGCGGUCUCGCUGUAGUCCUCCUCUGCGUAGUAGCACAACCUCGCAGUUGGAACGCGGCGGUGGCCAUGCCGUUAAACACCCCACUUCUGAAAGUUGACCUCGGAUCAGGUAGGAAUACCCGCUGAACUUAAGCAUAUCAAUAAGCGGAGGA
rnacentral:misc_RNA from 1 species